GACGAACGCUGGCGGCGUGCUUAACACAUGCAAGUCGAACGGAAAGGCCCUGCUUUUGUGGGGUGCUCGAGUGGCGAACGGGUGAGUAACACGUGAGUAACCUGCCCUUGACUUUGGGAUAACUUCAGGAAACUGGGGCUAAUACCGGAUAGGAGCUCCUGCUGCAUGGUGGGGGUUGGAAAGUUUCGGCGGUUGGGGAUGGACGCGCGGCUUAUCAGCUUGUUGGUGGGGUAGUGGCUUACCAAGGCUUUGACGGGUAGCCGGCAUGAGAGGGUGACCGGCCACAUUGGGACUGAGAUACGGCCCAGACUCCUACGGGAGGCAGCAGUGGGGAAUAUUGCACAAUGGGCGGAAGCCUGAUGCAGCAAUGCCGCGUGCGGGAUGACGGCCUUCGGGUUGUAAACCGCUUUCGCCUGUGACGAAGCGUGAGUGACGGUAAUGGGUAAAGAAGCACCGGCUAACUACGUG
rnacentral:rRNA from 1 species